rnacentral:rRNA from 1 species
UACGAAGGGGGCUAGCGUUGCUCGGAAUCACUGGGCGUAAAGGGUGCGUAGGCGGGUCUUUAAGUCAGGGGUGAAAUCCUGGAGCUCAACUCCGGAACUGCCUUUGAUACUGAGGAUCUUGAGUUCGGGAGAGGUGAGUGGAACUGCGAGUGUAGAGGUGAAAUUCGUAGAUAUUCGCAAGAACACCAGUGGCGAAGGCGGCUCACUGGCCCGAUACUGACGCUGAGGUGCGAAAGCGUGGGGAGCAAACAGG